rnacentral:rRNA from 1 species
CCUACGGGAGGCAGCAGUGGGGAAUUUUGGACAAUGGGCGCAAGCCUGAUCCAGCAAUGCCGCGUGCAGGAUGAAGGCCUUCGGGUUGUAAACUGCUUUUGUACGGAACGAAAAAGUCUGCCCUAAUACGGUGGGCCCAUGACGGUACCGUAAGAAUAAGCACCGGCUAACUACGUGCCAGCAGCCGCGGUAAUACGUAGGGUGCGAGCGUUAAUCGGAAUUACUGGGCGUAAAGCGUGCGCAGGCGGUUUAUAUAAGACAGAUGUGAAAUCCCCGGGCUCAACCUGGGACCUGCAUUUGUGACUGUAUAGCUAGAGUACGGUAGAGGGGGAUGGAAUUCCGCGUGUAGCAGUGAAAUGCGUAGAUAUGCGGAGGAACACCGAUGGCGAAGGCAAUCCCCUGGACCUGUACUGACGCUCAUGCACGAAAGCGUGGGGAGCAAACAGGAUUAGAUACCCUGGUAGUCCACGCCCUAAACGAUGUCAACUGGUUGUUGGUCUUCUACUNCUCAGUACGAGACACGCGNGAGUAGACGCCGNGGAGGACGGCGCGAGUAGAACGACGAAGAGUAGUACGACGNGAGAGAGACGACGACGACGACGACGGAGGGAGGAGG